GAGAGUCCGUCAGUCAGAGGCAGAGGUCGAGCCGUGGAGUAGAUCUCGCCGGCUGGGCUCGUCCCGGGGCUGGUGCGUCCUGCCUGCCGCCGGCGACCUCCUCGUCGGUGAGUACGUGCAGCAGCCCGGAGAGGUGCCAAAGGCUGGAUCUCGCAGAACAAGGACAUGAGGUAUAUUUCGUUUCUUCCUGAUCUGGAUCCGAUGAACUUAAACUCAUGGUGGUGUGCAUCUUCAGUUCAAAUUUCUGGUCUUCUUCCGUUCUAGGUUGUUUAAUCUAGUUUCCUCAAGUACCGGCCGGCCGGCCGGUGUGCGCAUCUUAAUCCUUCGGUGCAAAUCCUUGAUUAUCCAUGUUAGAUUUACUCCUAGGGUCUGCUUUAGUGAGGCCAUUUGUUGCCAGAUAAUUAGCACAUACUUCACUACUGACCUCUCUUUGUGAAGAAACAUAUAUCAGAUUAACAUCUUAAGUGCAAAUCAUUUGUGAUUCACUCUAGAUUCUGCUUAUUUUUUGCCUUGAUAAAUAGCUCAUUAUUCAUUGUUAUCUUCUCUUUAUGAAUAAAUAGUAUACUCAUGUUGACUUGCCUGCCAACUAAUUGUUUCAAAAUCUUCACAUGCACAGGUACUUGGGCAUGGAAUGGGAAUCACAAUUGUUGUGGUGGAAAUGAAGAAUAUCCUGUUAUUUGGCUGCUACCAUCGAUGUUCUUUUAGAUUGAACAUUGCCAUGAGCGUUUCUCUACGCAAUGAAUAUAUUAGAUCAAGCAUCAUGUCAUGGACACCAUAAGACUUUUCUGCGUUGAUAGUGAUGUCUACGGGUUGGAUCGUACUUCUGUUUAUCAGCUCACUGAAGUAACUCUCCUAGCUCAAAUGGGUUAAUUUCGUGUUUACAUGAUACACAAAUCUUCAGCUAUCCAUCUUCAUAUGAAUUGGUCUCGCUUAAUUUUGUAAUCUUCUGGAUAUAUGCUUACAUAUAAUAAAUGAUGUGAAGAUAGAUCAUAGAACAAAACCAUAAUCUUUAGUCUUAAGCAAGUUAGGGUAAACUAGAGAUAGAACACAACAGAAGCCACACACACGAAUGACAUGGAAAGCAGCAAAGAAAUAGUAAAAGAAGCUCUUGACUUGUAGAUUAUGUCAAAGUGAUAAUCUAGAGUCAAGCUUCUUUUACUAUUAGUUUCGAUCUACCUUGUCAUCUAUAGGAUUAGUUAUUAUAUCUAAGUAUGUUUUCAGAAGAUUAGAAGAUUAAGCAAGGUCACUUGAUAGGUAAAUUGAUAGCCGAAUGUUUUGUUUAUCAUGGAAAACCAGAGAUUAGCCUAUUUGAGCUCAGUGAUAGAGUUACUCAAUGAGAUCAUAAAUAGAAGCAUGAUUCAACCAAUAGACAUCAAUUUGAUGAAGGCAUGAAAAAUCUUAUUGUGUUAUGAUAUGAUGAUUGAUCCAAUAUGUUUUUGCCAAGUGAAGAAAAACACUAACAUGGCACUGAGUGAAAGCGAUCUAUACAAAGGCAAGAUUUGAAUAUUAUCCACCCGAAAGAGAAUGUCAGAUAUGACCACCAUCAGAAGAAGCAACAAUGCCACAAGUGAGCUCUCUUGUAUAUCCAUGUGCUAUUGUCGAUUCAGCGUCGCAUAUGUUGAGCGUUUAUGUUCUACAUGUGUUAGAUUUAGAAUAUUGUGGUGAGCACUUCCAUUCUUGCCAAUUGAGAUGGUGAGGCUCAGGAACACUUCAUUUGCCAUGGUGUUUUGAUUCGUCUUCUGCAGCAACAUGAAACUCUCAUUGUAAUUGUACCCACUUAUGCCUGAAUACUGCUAUUACUUCAGUUAGAUUCAAGAAGCACCAAGUUUCUGCAGCGCUCCUGCAUUUUGCUAAUGAUGAACUUCCUUCUCCAUUUCUUUCUUUUGUAAGGAAGAGUUAUGUACUUAUGAUGUAUGACUGGCUGGUUAAUUUUCUGUCAAUUCAACAACCAGUUUGUAUGGUGGCCAGUGCAAUUUGCCCGUAUGAACCAUUAGUUAUUAUAUAUGUACUGAUGUCUGGUUUGCCUGCUCUCCUGCAUUCUUCAUUACACUCCAUUGUUUGUAAUAACUUUAUUUCAGACUCGCAACCUAAAAUGCCGCAUUCAGUUUGUCCUAUGUUCUGAAGUUCCAUCUUCUAUUUGUCAUUUUGAUCAAAUAAACAGGGAAGUCGGCAGUGUCAUUUUGAUGUACCCGCUUAGGACCUGUAUUGAGUACAUCUUUCUGUUGGAGUACAACUGGAACUUGAUUUGCCAUUUCGUCUCGUGGGUACCUUUUCUGUCAAUCACUCUGGAGUGGAAGUAUUGCCCUCAACUGAUGCAACGCUUUCUGGACGAGAGAAUGAUUGGAUGUUGCCCUCAACUCAAGUGGCUCUUCUAUCUCUAUACAGGGGAGCAAAUCAUGUGAUGUUUUAUUUUGCUAUUUUGCGACCAAAUUGUAUGGUGCCGCAGACAAAUAAGACCUGUCUACUAGCAACUUGGUAUGAUAAAUUCACAGAAGCAUCUUGUUCAGUUGUUUCCACAGAUAUGUCUAACUGAAGUCUGUUUAAUUUGCACAAGAGAAUGAGCAUCAGUGAGUGACCAUGAGCAAGAGAAUGAGUAGGCUCUGCAAGAGCAGCGGUCGUAGGCAAUCCGAGUGUCUUCUUUGCAAGCGCCAUUUUCUUCCUGGACACAUGAGGAAUUGAUCUUUUUUUUUUGUUGCGAAGUAUGAGGAAUUGAUCUUAAUUUCACAACAACCAUAUAUGCAUGGAAUGGAAUCAGUAAA
rnacentral:lncRNA from 1 species